CGACCGGCGCACGGGUGCGUAACGCGUAUGUAACCUACCUAUAACAGGGGCGAUAACACUGAGAAAUUGGUACUAAUUCCCCACUAAUAUUCGGAGAGGCAUCUCUCCGGGUUGAAAACUCCGGUGGUUAUAGAUGGACAUGCGUUGUAUUAGCUAGUUGGUGAGGUAACGGCUCACCAAGGCAACGAUACAUAGGGGGACUGAGAGGUUAACCCCCCACACUGGUACUGAGACACGGACCAGACUCCUACGGGAGGCAGCAUG
rnacentral:rRNA from 1 species